rnacentral:rRNA from 1 species
GACAGAGGGGGCAAGCGUUGCUCGGAAUUACUGGGCGUAAAGGGCGCGUAGGCGGGAUGGCAAGUCGGUCGUGAAAUCCCUCGGCUCAACCGAGGAACGUCGAUCGAUACUGCUGUUCUUGAGGAUUGCAGAGGAGACUGGAAUUCCCGGUGUAGCGGUGAAAUGCGUAGAGAUCGGCAGGAACACCCAGGGGGAAACCAGUGGACUGGGCAGGAGCUGACGCUCAGGUGCGAAAGCGUGGGGAGCGAACCGG